UGGGGAAUAUUGGACAAUGGGCGAAAGCCUGAUCCAGCAACGCCGCGUGAGUGAUGAAGGCCUUCGGGUUGUAAAGCUCUGUCAGAAGGAACGAAUAAGGACGCUCUAACACAGCGUCCGAUGACGGUACCUUCAAAGGAAGCACCGGCUAACUCUGUGCCAGCAGCCGCGGUAAGACAGAGGGUGCAAGCGUUGUUCGGAAUCACUGGGCGUAAAGCGUAUGUAGGCGGCGGGAUGUGUUCGGUGUGAAAGCCCUCGGCUUAACUGAGGAAGUGCAUCGAAAACUAUUCUGCUCGAGUGCGAGAGAGGGUGGCGGAAUUCCCAGAGUAGAGGUGAAAUUCGUAGAUACUGGGAGGAACACCUGAGGCGAAGGCGGCCACCUGGCUCGUAACUGACGCUGAGAUACGAAAGCGUGGGUAGCAAACAGG
rnacentral:rRNA from 1 species